rnacentral:rRNA from 1 species
GAUGAACGCUGGCGGCGUGCCUAAUACAUGCAAGUCGAGCGAACAGACGAGAGUGCUUGCACUCUCUGACGUUAGCGGCGGACGGGUGAGUAACACGUGGGUAACCUACCUAUAAGACUGGGAUAACUUCGGGAAACCGGAGCUAAUACCGGAUAAUAUUUAGCUUCGCAUGACGCAAUAGUGAAAGACGGUUCUGCUGUCACUUAUAGAUGGACCCGCGGUGUAUUAGCUAGUUGGUGAGGUAACGGCUCACCAAGGCAACGAUACAUAGCCGACCUGAGGGGGUGAUCGGCCACACUGGGACUGAGACACGGCCCAGACUCCUACGGGAGGCAGCAGUAGGGAAUCUUCCGCAAUGGACGAAAGUCUGACGGAGCAAUGCCGCGUGAGUGAAGAAGGUUUUCGGAUCGUAAAACUCUGUUGUAAGGGAAGAACAAGUACGUUAGUAACUGAACUUACCUUGACGGUACCUGACCAGAAAGCCACGGCUAACUACGUG